rnacentral:lncRNA from 1 species
CCUCUAUUAUUUAUUCUGUAAAGUAUGGGAACUGAACCUCAAAAGAAGGUUUUUGUCAGUUUGACAAUGCAUAGUAAAAUAAUUGCCUUUUAAAUUCAUUCCUUAGAAGAAGCAAAAAGAAGAAAAGAAGUUCCAGAAAAGAAAGCUAUUCAUGAAGUUAAAACAAAAGGUACUACCUUAUUUUAAAAUGUGGCAGUUAAUUUACCCACUCUUCAGAGACCUCUGCCUAUUAUAAUUCCUAAAGAAAUAGAAAUAAAAAUAAUUUAUGGUUCGUGUCUUAGAAGCAGAAGAAAGAAAAAAGGUAACUCACAAGAAGAAAAUUAUUCCUGAAAUUAAAGGGAAAGCUUUGGAACAGGAAAAGAAGGUAACCCAAGAGAAGAAAGCUAUUUCUGAAACAAAAAUUAAAGGGGGAAAAGAAGAAAGAAAGAAAGCUCUUGAGAAAACAGCUGUCCCUGAAGUUAAAAAGGCAGAACCAGAAAAAGCUCCUGCAGCCCAUCCAGCUUCUGUGAAGGUAGCUGUGCGAGAACCAUUCAAGAAAGAAAAGCCAGUCGAAAGAGCCAAGCAGCCAGUGAAGGAUGUGCCUGUAAAAGCAUCAGUUACACAAGAAACUCAUAAACCAAAAGAAACAGAACUAACCAAAAUAGAACCUGCUGCCCAUUUGACUAAAAAAGCAGUACAUGAAAAGAAAGAAGACAGAUUAUUAAAGGCAGUGGAGCAAGACAAACCAAAAUCCAAAGAAACAAAAGAUAUCAGAGGGAAAGAAGCAAAACAUGUGGCACCAAAAGUCAAAGAUGUUGCAAAAGAAAAAGUGAAGUCUCCUACUACUGUGAAAGAAAAAGAGGCAGUAAAACCAAAGGAAGUAAAGCCUACCAUUCCCCAGAAGCAGAAAGAAUAUGUGAACUUUUAAUAGGUGAUGGUGAGAAGAAGCAAGAGUUUGGCUUCUUACAAGAAGAGAACAAUUUUUUUCCAAGCAAAUUUUGAAAAGUACUUCAGAUUCUAUUUAAAACCCACCUCAGAGGAGAGUUUUAUAAGGGAUCAGAUUUCUCUGCAGCACUGUCUGAAAUCUAAGCCUCCGAAGAACAGCUAGCUACAUCCCUCCAUGAAUGAAUAGAAUAAUAUGAGGCCUUUGGAACACUUCUAUCUUCCACUAUAACACACCAGCCGAGUAUCCAUAUGAGUCUAGCAUUCACAUAAACGUUCAGUUCAUCCAAUAUUUGCUAUGCUGGGGUGCGGAGGAUGGAAAAGUUCAUCAGAAAAAACUCAUGAACUUAUUCAUGUAGAAGCAAAUAAGUGCAAUUUUUUUCCAGCCAUUUCACUCUGCAUGCAGAAUUUUACCAUUGGAACAGGGAUCUGAACCAGCCCUCGGUCCUUUUUUAUCACUAGAAUUUAUAUAAUUCGAAUGUGGUAUUUUCCAGAGCAAACAGAAUAUACACUAUGAUGUUGAAUGGGUGUGACAGGGCA